UCCCAUUUGAUACAAAUGCAUACUUAGUAUAGAUCUGAUGCUUGCGAAUACUUUGGAUGAGUACUCACGGUUGCUUUGCUACCCCCUUUUCCUCUUUCUUUCUUCUUUCCGGUUGAUGCAACCAGAUGGUGGGUCCUUGGAGCCAGAUGCCACCGCAGAUGGAUGCUACUACGUGAAGACUGCCGACGUCCAUGAGUAGUUAGGAGGUCCCAGGUAGGAGGCCUUGCCUCUUCGAUCAUGUUUCUUUUGUGCUAGCCUUCUUAAGGCAUUCUUGUUUAACCUUAUGUCUGUACUCAGAUAUUGCUGCUUCCGCUGACUCUUGUGUAUCGAGCUUCUAUUCAAGCCCUCGAGGCCCGUGGCUUGUAAUAUAAAGCUUGUAUUAUUUUGAUUUGUGUCUACAGUUGUGUUGUGAUAUCUUCCCUUGAGUCCCUGAUCUUGAUCGUACACAUUUGCGUGUAUGAUUAGUGUACGAUUGAAUCGGGGGCGUCACAAGUUGGUAUCAGAGCCAACUGCCUGUAGGAUCGCCCUUUCCAACUCCUUGGUCGAGGUUGAGUCUAGUCUUAAAAAAAUUGAUUUACUAACAUGGCCGUGUGGCUUACGGGCCCACAUCGCCAAUUGGGUGGUAUUAGGAUCUUUUAUUCCUCGUCUAUACUCUGGGAAUCUGAUCUCUCUUAUAUUUGGGUUAAAUGGUUUUGCAAACUAUAACUCUAGGUUCUCGUAAAUACAUCUCCCGGAGAGCCCCUUCAUUCCAGAUGAUGGCCCGCUUGACCAGAAGAUUCUGAAGAUACUCUCUGAUGUUUUACCGAGUCCCUUGUACCCUUCGAAGUUGCGAUCCCUAGCACCGAUAAAUCCUUAGGUGUAACUACCUACAUUGCCGUUCAUACAGUCAUUCCUCGUUGAUCUUGUUAUUACAAGAUACCCUGAAUUUCUCCUUAUUUGUUCCGAGAAUACCUUGUGCCUACUGCCUUGCAGUUCCUUGCCGCAUGAAUACCCCUACGGAUAAUUACUCGUUCUUAUCGAGUAUCCGUUCAUCCCUAGUUAUCCUUAUGCUUCAUAAGAUACAUUGUGAUACAAUCCGAGCUUUUGAUGACCUCUACCGCCUAUUGCUCUAGAAGGUCUUACCUGCCUCCACCCUGGUUAAUUCCAUAUGCCUAGCAGUAUCCAUUGACGUCCUUUGUCAUUAUCAUCUUAAGUCUUUCGAUUUGAUAUGUUUGUGUCGCAAUCAUCAGUUGAUCCUAAAUUAUCAUUCCUGCUCAAACGUCUUCCUGAACUUGAGCUGGUUCUCGGCCAAUCAGAUUGCCAUCAGUUGUGCCCAAGUCUAUUCAACUUAUCCAUUCUUGAUCAGAGCGUUUGCUUCCGAUCCCUUGAUUUGGGAAUCAUAAUUCAUUUGCAGUUGAACUCUAAAUUCGUCAGUUGCUUCUAUAAUCUAACCUCCUUGCAUUCUUUCUUUUUCUGGUUGAGUACCGUUGCUCACAUCAGAUCCCUUGUGGACCACCAGAUCCUUUGUGGAUUUUAUCCGACAACGUCCUUCAUAUUUAGUAACCUUGUGAUCUUUUCCUUGGAUACAUAAUGCCUUCGGUAAAUCGUAUCCCUUGCUUUUGUGAACCAUGCUCUGCUUACGAGUUUGAGUAAUUUAUUCCUAAAAGUUUGUGGAAUUUGUUCCUGAGAUGCCCCGUUGGGUUGAAUCUAUGUAUUCCCUAAAUCCGGGUGAACUCGAAAGUUAUGCGGGUUAUACUCUAUUGGCUUUUCGCCAAGUAAAAUUUCAACGCUACAACUUCUUCGAAUGCGAGAAGUGCAUGGAAGGUUAUGCAUUGGAGAAGUGGGAGUUGACCUUGAGCCUUUGUGUUCAUGCCCAUGGACCCGAUGUGGAACUUAUCAUGGAAGCUUCUUGUUAUAAAGUUAAUCCCCUUGUGAUAAGUUCAUCUUAUAUCUGUGUUUGGUCCUUUGCAACCGUGGUUCCGACCAUAUUGUUCUUGUUUGAUCCCCUUUCUCGGGCAAGUUGAAGUACUUGUCUUCUGCAGACCACUUUACCUGUCCAACCCCUAUUCUGCUCUACCCUCGAGUAUUAACCUCUUGUAUCUCGAGAAUAUCACGGAACUACAUAACUUCUUUUGAGUUCUUCAUCAACUAUUUCUCGCCGAUUCAAAUUUUCCACGGGUUCUGAGUUGUUAGACACUCGAGAACGCAGAUAACUGAUUCGAGUCUACACUUCCCUUUCCAUUGUUUUGUUUAAGCUUUCUUGUGACCUAACAUAUGUGAGUAGUGUUAAUUCACUGCUUAUGUAACACCUCGGUGUACAAAAUUUGUCAGUAAGACCUUGUUACUAUUGUUGAUGACAUUCCGGUAGCCACUGAUGGACGAGAACUUUGCCUAUUGGUCCGCCUCGUCUUAACGAGCAGGAAAAUGGUUCUCUUAAUCCCUCGCCCUUGGUACCGAUGUUGUUGCCGACAUAACUGAUAGGCAAUACUCUGACUGCCUUGCUAUCAUGGCCGUGCAAAUGUUAGCACCCUUCUUGCUUUUAACCCACAUGGUGGGCCCAUAACCCACAGGUCCCAGGAUCGAAACCCGACUCUCCUGUACAUCUCUGUCUUCUAAAUUUUUUCCUCACGCUUGGUUUCAUUUGUAAUUCGCGAGCCACCUUCCUUGUGAUCUGUUCUGGUAUCAGAUGCAAUACUUAUUCCCAUUGCUAUGAACCCCUUUCACCCUCUGUUUCAGGCAACGAACGGUUGCCUACCCGGUUGAAGCUCCUUAUUGCACCUCCUUACCUUGCUCUCGAUGACUUGCUUGAAGUUCAAAUCGAGAGAUGCCUCUAUGCCAUGUUCACCGAGAUAGCCCCCAAGUACCUAUCUUGUGUUGAGCUCCGUCCUUCCCGAGUCUUUCCCCCUUACUCCACCCCUUAAAUCUCGGGACGAGAUUUCUUGUAGUGGAGGACAAUUGUGACACCCGGAUAAUUAAGCUACAGUAAUCUCCUGCUAAUGAUGCCACAUCAUCAUUCUUACUGUUGCUAAUCCUCAUUUGAUCCGAAGCAUAAUUCAAAUUCAAUUCAAAUUAAAGUCCAAAAAUUCAACUUUGUCAAACAUGCAAAAUAAAAUGUUCAAAGUGUGGCAAAUUUUCCAUAACUAAAUAUGGUGAUGAACCAACAUUUUUUCAAAGUGUUUAAAUGCCUUAAGCUAGUCAACACAAUGGCCUAGAUAAUAAUUUAAUUGUUUUUUAACUUGUAAAAAUACUAAACUAUUUUUUAAACCUCAAACUAUUUGUGGCAGUGGCAUAAGUUAGUAGUGUUGAUUUAGAGACUAGUGUUGUAUUUUGUACAACUAAAAAUAAAAAGAAACUAAUUAGAAAACAGAAAAGCAAAAUGAAAAUAAAAUGAAAAGGCCUCCCCUGACUCCCCCGGGCCUUGGCCCAUCUCACCGAACCGGCCCAACCCACCUUCUCCUUCUCCCCCCACUCGUGCACUGCUCCUCCGCCCCACGUCGCUACAGGGCGCCGUCGCCGCCUGACCACCUCGCCAACCCCGUCGCUGCAGGGAUAAGGAUGCCCCAUCUCGACCCCUCGGGCUCCUUCCCUCCACCUCGCCCAGAUACACUCUCCUCUCGCUCCCUCUCCCUUCGCUGCUCGCGCCCUGAGCCGCAUGACCAUGGCCGUCCCCCACUGAAGCCACGACCACCGACCGCCCGUGCCCCGCCAUCGAGUUCAGGAGCUCCUUCGCGUCGUACUACAUCGCCUACGUCGUCUACGAGGCCAGAUCGGCCCGGAUCGCGCCUGCAUCGACGCCACCGCGUCGUCUUCUUCCCAUCGACCCCGCCACUACCUUGCUGUCUUCCUGCUACUCCGACGCCUCCCCGACCUCGUCGUCGUGCUCCAUUGUGAGCCCCUUCGCCGCUACCCCGCGCCUCCCCUCCGAUUUUUUCGCCGUAGGCCGCCGUCCAUCCCGCUCGUCCUCGGCCGCGACCGCAGCCCCCACCCCCCCGCGCUCCAGGCCGAGGCCGCGUGCGCGCGCGUCCACGCCGGAGGCCGCGCCCCCGCCCUCCUGCUCCGACCGGCCGCGGAUGGCCAUGGCCUCGUCCUCGUCGCUUGUGGCUAGUGUUGCGCACUCCUGCUGCUACGAGCUGUUGCUCGCCCUGGCCGCCGGCGUCCCUUUACGCCGUGCGUGCUAAGGCCGCUGCUAACUAGGCCGAGCCCUUAUUAAUUAGUGGGAGCUAAUCCCCCUUUAUCACUACCCCCCAUUGACCAUUGGACCCCUCCUGUUAAUUAGUUAGGUUAAUUAAUCUAAUUGCCUAAAUAUUUUAGCCAAUAGACACUGACUGGUGGACCCCAUCUAGUUAAAUAAGCUAAUAAAACUAUGUUUAUAACAUGUUCCUUUGACACAUGGGUCCCACUGGUCCCUUUUGACCAGUCAAACUGCUGACUGGGAUAACCCAGUCAAUGACAUGCGGGUCUCCAGGGCCCUUUGAGUAGUUAACAGUCUCAAUUGACUGCUGACUUGGCAGUCAACUAGACCCCACCUGCAGCCCCUGGUGUAAAUAGCUGGGUACACUUCUGUGUACACAUAGCAAUUAGUCUUUAUUUCGAAUUAAUAAAUAAAUGCAGAAAAUGACUAAAACUUUAGAAAAUCAUAGAAAAUAAUCCGUAGCUCGGAUGAAAAAGUUUUCUACAUGAAAGUGGCUCAGAAUUUCGAGACGAAUCCGAAUACGCGGUCUGUUCACCCGCCACACGUCCCUAGCAUAGAAAACCUGCAAACUUUCCCCUCCGGUUCAUCUGUCUAAUAGACGUCCGGAACCGGGAAAACUUUCCCGGAUGUUUUCCCCCUUCGCCAGUAUCACCUAGCACCGCGUUCGAACACCUCUAGCCCCGCUUGUUGUCUUGUUAUACAUAUAUUUGCGUGUAUUUACUGUUUCUUCCCUCCUCUUCUCUCCGAUAGACCCCGAGACUGCUGCCGAUGCCCCUAUGAUCGACUACGUCGACGACGACCCUUCUUACCUUUCAUCGGAGCUUCUAGGCAAGCCCCCCUUGGAUCAUCCCGAUAUCGCCCAUUCUAUACUCUCAUGCUUGCAUUAGAUUUUGCUACUGUUAUUGAUUGCUCCUAUUUUGAUGAAUAGCCUGCUUUUGUAACCUACUGUUGUACCUUACCUGCUUAUCCUAAACUGCUUAGUAUAGGUUGGUUAGUGAUCCAUUAGUGACCCCCACCUUGUCCUUGUUGCCCCUGCUUCAUCAUCGACGACUCGAUCAAUGUGAUCGAGGACCAGAGCCUGACACCUCACAUCACAUCACGCCCCUUUAGUUGCUCGACUCUACAGAGCUACUAUCGAGUGCCGAGGGUGAUCCCCCAUAACGCACUCCUGAUGAUAAUUCUGUAGUGUAGCUAUUCGGUCGUGGUCAUUGAGGGUGAUUUCCUCUUUCACCAUUCCCGAUACGGCUCUGUCGUUCAACACCUCAAGUGUGAACCUCGAGGGUGGUCCCUCUUACAUUCACGUUGAUGAUUACAUUGAGUGGAAUCCACCGGGGGUGAUUCCUCGGGUUUUCCCCUUGAUGUUUGGACACAUGGUUACCUUGACUUUACUUGAGACCUUGGUGAAAGUCGGGCGGGCCCGGAGAGCACCCGCAAGAUGGUUACAUGGCACGGCCGGGCAUUCUAGGCUCUUGUCGUAAGUCCACGAGACAGGGCGACGGGGUCACUUUCGAUCGUGAGUCUCUGCUCGUCUCCGCAAGCUAAUAAUACACUAUGGUUUGGGUAUUUGUUCUGAGUUGGCCUCUGGCCUUUACGCAUUAACCACCACGCGAGAAUAGAUAUGGGCCUCGACAUCGCAGUAUCAGCCGAAGCUUUGUCAGAUAUCCAGUUCAGCAUUGUGGCACGGUCGUAUCGUGCUGGCCAUCCGACGCGGUGCUGGUAUCCACCCUGCACACAACGACCCGGAGUGCUAAGGGCGAUGGGCCCAAGACCCCGGAGUGCUUAGGAUGUAGACCGGCGGGGACCUCUCUGCUGAGCCUAGGUAGGGCUGCGACGUGUUGAUCUUCGAGGGCGGGCAUUGACCCCAUAAAGGUGUGUCCGGCCAGAGUGAUCGAGCAUGUUGGGUAACGUGGUGCACCCCUGCAGGGAAGACAUAUAUUCGAAUACCGUGUCCACGGUAAUGGACGUUCAGACUUAUAUCUUGAUCUUAUACAACUACAAAUGGAUACUUGAGAUAUGUGGCUCCAGGAUUGCUUUCUCGCAGGGAGUCGAGGAAGGAUCUCUGGGCAUUAAUGUUACAACAUGUUUGUUAAUUAUAAACUUCUAUUCUUUACUCUUCUACGUGCUGCAAGAUGCUCGGAGCUGCGUGAAGAUGCUAGUCUUUGAUAGGCUAGGAUUUCCCCCUCUAUUCUGGCAUUCUGCAGUGCAGUCCACAGAUACAACCCUUCCAUUUGAUACAAAUGCAUACUUAGUAUAGAUCUGAUGCUUGCGAGUACUUUGGAUGAGUACUAACGGUUGCUUUGCUACCCCCUUUUCCCCUUUCUUUCUUCUUUCCGGUUGAGGCAACCAGAUGGUGGGUCCUUGGAGCCAGAUGCCACCGCAGAUGGAUGCUACUACGUGAAGACCGCCGACGUCCAAGAUUUGUUAUGAGGUCCCAGGCAGGAGGCCUUGCCUCUUCGAUCGUGUUGCUUUUGUGCUAGACUUCUUAAGGCAUUCUUGUUUAACCUUAUGUCUGUACUCAGAUAUUGCUGCUUCCGCUGACUCUUGUGUAUCGAGCUUGUAUUCGAGCCCUCGAGGCCCGUGGCUUGUAAUAUAAAGCUUGUAUUAUUUUGAUU
rnacentral:lncRNA from 1 species